CACGUAGGGUGCGAGCGUUGUCCGGAAUUAUUGGGCGUAAAGAGCUCGUAGGCGGUGUGUCGCGUCGGCCGUGAAAACCUGCAGCUUAACUGUGGGCGUGCGGUCGAUACGGGCAUCACUGGAGUUCGGCAGGGGAGACUGGAAUUCCUGGUGUAGCGGUGAAAUGCGCAGAUAUCAGGAGGAACACCGGUGGCGAAAGCGGCUUCCUGGUCCAGCACCGACGUUCAGGCACGAAAGCGUGGGGAGCAAACAGG
rnacentral:rRNA from 1 species